AAAUUGUGAUGAGGGCAUCUGACAAGUAGCUCAUUAAAGUGCUCCCUUGCUUCGAAGAAAAGGUCUCUGUCUUUUUGUUGGGAAGUCAGAAUUUUCCUUCUUAAUUGC